UAUCACAGCUUGCUCUAGGUUUA
rnacentral:miRNA from 1 species